ACCGCGGUAGCCCAGUUGGUUUCGGCAGUACUAAUGCCGAAGGUCGCAGGUUCAAAUCCUGCCUGCGGUG